UUUUGCAGUAAUACUUGUUCUUCCACUGUUGUUGUAUCCGAUGAGACUAGUUAUUUCGGUGUUUUCUAGGAAACUGGAUAUCAUGUGAUGAUCAACUCUCAGCAACUAAUUCAUCAUUGAACGUGAAGGAGUGGGGAUCAUGAGUUCAGAUUAAAGAUAUUUUUUUAGUGAUAUAUUACAGCAGUUUAUUUAACAACAUUAAAAGGUACAGAAUUCAGUUCACUUAGAAACGAAGGGGUUUGGCAACGUAUUCUUCCUUUUGUGGGUGAGCGGCGAUCCAGGCCAAAGCACGUCCAACGUAUUCUGGGACUGGUGGUGGGACUGGAAGAUGAGCACCUUCUGGGUGGAAUCCGUUUUCGUCAGCAGUGUAGGUAAGGGCAAUUGG